AACGAACGCUGGCGGCAUGCCUAACACAUGCAAGUCGAACGAAGGCUUCGGCCUUAGUGGCGCACGGGUGCGUAACGCGUGGGAAUCUGCCCUUUGCUUCGGAAUAACAGUUAGAAAUGACUGCUAAUACCGGAUGAUGUCGCAAGACCAUGAUUUAUCGGCAAAGGAUGAGCCCGCGUAGGAUUAGCUAGUUGGUGGGGUAAAGGCCUACCAAGGCGACGAUCCUUAGCUGGUCUGAGAGGAUGAUCAGCCACACUGGGACUGAGACACGGCCCAGACUCCUACGGGAGGCAGCAGUGGGGAAUAUUGGACAAGGGGCGAAAGCCUGAUCCAGCAAUGCCGCGUGAGUGAUGAAGGCCUUAGGGUUGUAAAGCUCUUUUACCCGGGAUGAUAAUGUCAGUACCGGGAGAAUAAGCUCCGGCUAACUCCGUG
rnacentral:rRNA from 1 species